AUUUCNANUGGGCGAAAGCCUGAAGGAGCGACGCCGCGUGGGGGAUGAAUGGCUUCGGCCCGUAAACCCCUGUCAUUUGCGAACAAAUUGCUUCACCUAACACGUGAAGCAUUGAUUGUAGCGGAAGAGGAAGGGACGGCUAACUCUGUGCCAGCAGCCGCGGUAAUACAGAGGUCCCAAGCGUUGUUCGGAUUCACUGGGCGUAAAGGGUGCGUAGGCGGCCAGGUAAGUUUGAUGUGAAAUCCCGCAGCUCAACUGCGGAACUGCAUUGAAUACUAUUUGGCUCGAGGAAUGGAGGGGAGACUGGAAUUCUCGGUGUAGCAGUGAAAUGCGUAGAUAUCGAGAGGAACACCAGUGGCGAAGGCGAGUCUCUGGACAUUUCCUGACGCUCAGGCACGAAAGCCAGGGGAGCAAACGGGAUUAGAUACCCCGGUAGUCCUGGCCUUAAACGGUGCGCAUUUGCUGUGAGCGGAAUCGACCCCGCUCGUGGCGAAGCUAACGCGUUAAAUGCGCCGCCUGGGAAGUACGGCCGCAAGGUUAAAACUCAAAGAAAUUGACGGA
rnacentral:rRNA from 1 species